rnacentral:rRNA from 1 species
CGGGGUGCAGCAGGCGCGAAAACUUUACAAUGCUGGCAACAGCGAUAAGGGGACCUCGAGUGCCAGGUUACAAAUCUGGCUGUCGUGAUGCCUAAAAAGCAUUGCAUAGCAAGGGCCGGGCAAGACCGGUGCCAGCCGCCGCGGUAACACCGGCGGCUCGAGUGGUAACCGUUAUUAUUGGGUCUAAAGGGUCUGUAGCCGGCCGGAUAAGUCUCUUGGGAAAUCUGGCAGCUUAACUGUCAGGCUUUCAGGAGAUACUGUCUGGCUCGAGGCCGGGAGAGGUGAGAGGUACUUCAGGGGUAGGGGUGAAAUCUUGUAAUCCUUGAAGGACCACCAGUGGCGAAGGCGUCUCACCAGAACGGACCUGACGGCAAGGGACGAAAGCUAGGGGCACGAACCGGAUUAGAUACCCGGGUAGUCCUAGCCGUAAACGAUACUCGCUAGGUGUCGGCCACGGUGCGACCGUUGUCGGUGCCGUAGGGAAGCCGUGAAGCGAGCCACCUGGGAAGUACGGCCGCAAGGCUGAAACUUAAAGGAAUUGGCGGGGGAGC